CAUAUAUGCAGUAGUUCAUGUGGAAAGUAACACAAUGAUGAAUAAACCCUCAUACAAGAACAAACUUUAAUGUAUUCACAGCUGUACACCUACCUUUGCCCCACAAUUUUCUUUUGACAAAUAUGCAAUCUUGACUUUGAAAGUUUCCCAAGGAGAUGGUACUGAAGAUCUGCUUUUUGCUUUUCUCACCAGGUUGGCCCCACUAUCUUUAAUUGGCUUGAGCUUCUUUUUAAAGAGAGGAGAGCGUAUAUCACAUGAAUGAGAUGAAACUGGAAUUAGAUGAAGGCUGAGUCAUCACUAGAGAGUGGGAAGGGCAGCAGCAGCAGAUAAAAACCCCAAAGCUGAUAUCACACACUCCCAUUUCUCCACGUUGGGGGCUAGCGGGGAGCCACCAUGAGCGAUGUGACCAUUGUGAAAGAAGGUUGGGUUCAGAAGAGGGGUAACCUGCUUUGUUCUCUGGAAGCUUUUUGUGUCGGGGCCUCUGUACCCGUGGGAUUAUGAAAUUGAAGGAGGGUGAG